AGCUCCUCAUCCCUGGCACCAGGGUCAGCCAGGAGGAAAGACAGCUGCUGGACACUUGCCAGCACAUCUUGCAUUGCCUUAAAUGCUCUCUUCUGACUACAUGCCCUGUUUGCUAUGAAACAAAUCUAAUGGAGGAAACAAACAGGAUUUUGCUUUUAAAAGUAUUGUAUCAGUCAUAUAUGGAGCCAUCUACAGUGCUCUGCUGGCUGCCAUACCUCUGGAAACACAUCACACCAAAGUGUUGUAGGGUCAUGGGAGCUGCAUAACACCAGGUCUUCACAGUCUCAGAAACCAAAUUACCUAAUUUUAAGGAAACAAUACCUGCAUGCAAUUAAACUCUUAACUUUACUCAUGUGAGUAGUUUGAACUGAUGCACAGAAAAUGCUUGCAGGCUUUCAAAUGCACAUGUGUAAGUUUUGGCAGGGCUUGGUUUUCAACCAUGUUAAUUUUGAAGCCUUGCUUUCUCUUUUUCAGCAGCAAACCUAGAAAAACUACAUAUAUGCUAUCAACUUUGAAAAUCCUGUAAAAUCAGUUUUGGAGACAUCACAGAAAUCAAAGGAAAUGUGAUAAAAUUAAAAUGCUCUCAUUUAAAAUAAGAUUUUAUUUCCCUUUCAGUAACAUACAAUAUUUAACUAAGAGUUUUAAUACAUUCAGUAAAAUAUGAGCAUAUUAUUAAGCUCCUCAGAAUGACACCAUUUACUGUAAAGUCAUUACCAUUCUGUUUGCUCAUGUCUAGCCUCUUUGUUUCAAGUCUGUUUUCCCAGCUUACAGUAUCACCUCAACAGACUCUAACAUACAUGAGUAAUGUGUCUGGAAUUUUUCCUUGCAACACCAAACCUCAGACCAAGCUCAGGCUGAAGGGCCAUGCUGUGAAUAGGAUGGGAAGCAGCUUCAGCUGUACCUCUUUUCUACAUUCUCCAUCCUGUCCCUUCCCUUGCAAGAAGCUGCUACCUAGGCUGCUGUCUGUCCCUGACUUCACUUCCUUCUCUCACCGCUCUCAGAGACAGCAUCUAGACUUUUGGAAGUCCAAACCCACCCUUUGUUAGGAUCUAGUAGAAAAAAAACAAUUCUGUGCUUCUCACGGCCUAUGUUCAAAAUCUGCAACAGUGACCUCAGAAGUCCAGAGGCAAGCUUGUUUCUGUAAGGAAGGACAGUCAGAGGGGAUCUACUCAGCUAAUUAAGUAUUUGUGGUCAUUUCUGAGGUGCUGUCCACAGUUGAACCAGUGAAGUAAGGGAAUGUCCUGCCUCUUGCUGUCUGUCCCCACAGUCAGUGGGGCCUUAUUAACAGCGCUGAAGAUAUCAGCACAAGAGAAGGAUGUCAGUCUUUCCUUAGCAUUUUAAACCUCUAUAGACUUCAGGUCUGAGGGAAGCUGAUUGUCCCUCUGAAACAUUGUCAUCUAGUCCUUCAUACAGAUAUUAGCAAAUAAAAACCAAGUUGUGUGAAAAAUGUCAGUUCUAUUUUUGCCAACUAAAAUAUAACAGGAAAUUGUAUGCUUAACAUAUAUGGAGAACUGCAAAAAUGAACCACAGAUAAGUAACCACUGUUAUUAAGAAUGGUAAACACAGUUACAGAGGUGAAAUGGUUUAUGCAUAUCCUUUAAUAUGAAUUCCAGCUACAGAGUUGCUCCACAUAUGAAGGUUAAUAGAGGAUCCUUACAACAACUUAAGGAAAAAGAAUUGCAUUCUUACAAAAUAGUCAUAUAUUUAUCCAGUGCCUUAAUACAUUAAUGGAAAAACAUAUGUAUUAUGGUACACAAACUAAACAAAUCAUUUCUGAAUACACUAAUUUCAGAAAUGCACCAACAGCUCUAAUAAGAACUUGAAUAUGAAUGUCAUGCAAACAAACAAACAAAAAAACAAAAACCAAAAAAACAAACAAACAAAAAAAAGCAAUCUGAGUGGCUAAGCUACAAGCUGUUUUGAAUGAUGUCCAGAAUCCAGAUGAACCAAAGCCUGUCACCCCACAUCUGAAUCAUAAAUGCAGGUCUCUUCUGGGAUGCCCCAGAAAACCCCAUGCAGAAAUCUCAGCUCCACCAAGGUUUGAGCUAGUGGAGUGCUCUGCAAAGUGUGCCUGGAUGCUGCUGCACCAAGAAGGUGGUACACAGGUGACUCUGAGAUUAUGAGCCUGGCCCGCUCUGUCAGCAGGGUAACUAUAUAAGCAAGGGAGUCUGGAAAACACUGUUGCAAAUAUUUUUAUUUAUCAGAACGGGGGUGCUGGAAAUCUUCUGUUUGUUCUUUGAAAGUACUUGUUUUCCUAAAGAAACAACUUCUUUCCACAGCUCUGAGGCUCAGGGCUAAAUAUUUUCCAUACUAACUUUUCUCCCCAACAACUGGUGUAGUGACUCCAGCAGCUGAACCUCCCCUUUCUAGUCACUAGUACAGCCAAUGUAAAGAGAGGGGUACUAUGUGGAACAAAUCACACACCUUAGAGAGGCAAGCCAGUCAACCCCUUCAAGGUCUCUUUUAAAUGAGAUGGAACAAAUUAAAAGCAAAUACUAUUCACACCUAUCAGUUCAAUCAACCUAAUGUUCCAAAUGAAGGAGUCCCACUCUUGGAUCCUCUGCCAAAAAGGCACAGUAUGACAUGAACCAACGGAGUUUGACUUUUUUAAGACAUUCAAUUUUCUAUGAAAAGAUGCACUUAAAUUUUUAGGAAAAACAGUGUUUUGGGUGGCAUCCUUAAGGGUGAAUGGAGACAGUAUAUGCCAAAAGUAAUUUAUGAGGAUUUUCCCUCCAAAUUUUUACUGCUGUAUCCAUCACACAGGGAGGGAGCGAUGUUGAGUCCUCAUGGUGCACAGGCAAUAACCAUGAGCAGGAAUUGGCUGCCUCUCAUGGACAGCCCCUAAUAUUUGAUCUUUUGGAAUUAAAUUCAUAUUCAAAGACAGAACAAGAGAAUUUAGCAGGGAGAAAUCGGAGCACCCAGCAACCCAGACAAUCCCUAGCUCAGGAUGUUGCCAAGCCCACAGGUACUCAUGUGUGACAAAGACCCCCUCCCCAAAACAUCCUGGGAAAGGCUCCCAACAUACUUUAAGUUCAGGGCUACUAAUCUAAUUUAUUUUCAAACUGGUAAUUUGUGGCUCACUGGCAAGUAUCUAUUUUUAGAGAUGGCUUCAACAAGCUCUAAAUGGAAGUACAACAGACUGUGGCCUCCAGCCACUGUAACAGCCCAGCUCCUGACAUGAGUCUGGAAGCUUUGGCCAGUGCAACUCAGGCAUAAACUAUAAUUGUUCAUUGUAUUGUAAUUACGUGUUUUAACCUGUGGGCUCCACAUCACACAGGUUAUUUUGAAUUAUAGAAGAAAUACCAUGGUUUUGCAUGGUUUUUCUUCUUUUUUUCUUCCUGCUUGCUAAAACACAAGUUGGAAGCCUUUCCCAAACCACUCCAUUACCAUGUCUUCCAGCAUGAACUGUCUUAUUUGCUCUGAGUCAGCUACAUCUGAGGAGCCACAGCUGGCCCGGAGCUAAGCCAAAGAUUUUUCCCUUCAGUUUUGUUGCACAACGUCAUCUAAAUACAUGGUCCCAUCUAAUUUGUUUCCUUCUGGGGUUUAAUGAAACUGUCUUCCACUUUGCGACGUCUCAAGUUAGGGAAACGUCAUAAGAUCAGUGUCCAAAACCAAUUCAGACAGCAAUACAAAUAAACAUCCAUUGGAAAAACAGAUAUAGACAGGAAAUAAAAUAAAAAAAAACCAGCAAACUUUUGUGACUAGACUAUUGCUUUCAUUCACAUCAUGAUCUGGAAUUUAAUUUUCAUCUGUUUCUAUGAAAAAUAUGAACAAAGCAGUGUAUAAUGAAGGAAUGAAUUCCUACUUGAUUGUGUGUCCUGGUUUC